AAUCUAACUUCCCCAAGGCUCUCACCUCCCCCCCUCGGCAUAAUAAAACCUCUUCCUUUUCAGGGCUCCCCACCAGCCGGUUUUCUGCUUGGUGGGGCCCAACCAUAAUGCUCCCCACCGGUCGACUUACAACCCAGCGGGGACACGUCCAACCUGGUACCUCCUCCAGGUUCACCAUAAGAGACGGGGGGGGGAUGAGACCUGGC